GUCGGCGUGGCAUAGUGGUUUGAGUGUUGGACUGUGACUCUGGAGACCAGAGUUCAAUUCCCUGCUUGUCCA